CAAAGGUUUGGUCCCAGCCUUGAAAUCAAUUCUUAUUUAAUAUACACAUGCAAGUCUCCGCACCCCAGUGAGAACGCCCUCAAUCUCCCCUUUAGGGAGUAGGAGCCGGUAUCAGGCUCAAAUACAUGCCCACCACACCUAGUCUCGCCACACCCCCAAGGGUCUUCAGCAGUGAUAAACAUUGAGCAUAAGCGUCAGCUUGACUCAGUUAAACUAAAUAGAGCCGGCCAAUCUGGUGCCAGCCGCCGCGGUUACACCAUGUGGCUCAAAUUGAUUUCCUCCGGCGUAAAGCGUGAUUAAAGUCCCAUUAUUCUCUUGGAGUUCAACUAAAACUAAGCUGUGACACGCUUGUUACCUAAGAAACCCACAAACGAAAGUUAUUCCAAUCCUGCCAACUUGAAUUCACGUCAACUGAGAAACAAACUGGGAUUAGAUACCCCACUAUGCUCAGUCGUAAACUUUAAAUUACCCCCUCUUCGCCCGGGAACUACGAGCUAUGCUUAAAACCCAAAGGACUUGACGGUACCCCAUAUCCCCCUAGAGGAGCCUGUCCUAUAAUCGAUACCCCCCGUUCAACCUCACCAUUUCUAGUAAAAUCAGCCUGUAUACCUCCGUCGUCAGCUUACCACGUGAGCGUUAGUGAGCUAAAUGUUUAUUCAACCACACGUCAGGUCAAGGUGCAACACAUGAGAUGGAAAGAGAUGGGCUACACUCUCUAGCUUAGAAGAUACGAAAGACUACUUAUGAAACCUAGUCAGAAGGCGGAUUUAGAAGUAAAAUGGAACCAGAGAGUCCCUUUUAACCUGGCACUGGGGUGUGUACACACCGCCCGUCACCCUCCUCAACGCUAUUUUAAAGUUUCUUACACAUUUUAGCUGCAUAGAAGAGGCAAGUCGUAACAUGGUAAGUAUACUGGAAAGUGUGCUUGGAAA
rnacentral:ncRNA from 1 species